rnacentral:misc_RNA from 1 species
CAGAGUUCAUGCCCUUAUGGGUAGAUCUCCCACCCUUGAGUACUAUACCUUUUUGCUUUGGCAGGUUACUUAGCCUAUCAGCUUUAGCUGGUGAGCAGCCUGCCGGCAGUUUAAAAAUUCUAAGUUAGCAAUAUUGUCUGAGUAAAAAAUAAUAGUUA